rnacentral:lncRNA from 1 species
CUUAAGUUAAAAUCAUCCAACGAUAAAAAUAAAUUACCAAAUAUGAAAUUAAAGUACAAAAAAAGUUAAUGUUGUAGGCUCGUAGCAUUACAAAUACAAGAUCAGUUGAUCUUCAAUUUCCUCAUUCAUCUUCAUAAUAGUUAGUUGCCCGCGACAAAGGAAUUUUGUUGCCCAUUCUCAUUCGCAAUCUGUUGAAAACACACAAAUCACAUAAUUAAGGAGUGCUCGAUCAAUAUUCAAUAAUUCAAAAUUCAUAUAUGAUCCUUGAACUUGCAGUUAGCUGAUAAUAAAGACGUAGCAUGAGGAAAUAAUAUGGAAACGACGAAUAACUAUAUGAAUCAGUAACAACCUUGAAUGGCUCGUUAUCUUUCCUGAAGCUAAUCGAAAAUACCCUGCACAUAUUGUAGCAAAAACAAGAACAUGGUGAGUGAAAGAAAAAUAACUAUCAUACAACUAAGAACAUAUAUAAAAAUAUUUUGAAUUACAUAAGUUGUCAAAUUUUCAUUCUGCACAAAUACAUGGCCCAAUGCAACGAUUAACGUGUACCAAUGCACAUCAUAAUAAGAAAAGUUUUGCAUCUGAUCAACAAAAUACAUCAUAUGCAAGUCUAAUACCCAAAAGUUUUGCAUCUGAAAACACGUUUUUUCACACAAGAACCAUUUGUCUCAAAAUAAUUAUUUUCGACAAUUUUUCAAUCCGUUCAUGUAGCUAGCCGACAUAUAUGUAGUUCAUUUAUAGUAAAUAAAAUCAACCUUAAACCAACCAUGAGUUUUUCUACUCACAUGUUUGUAUCAAUACAAUCUUCAUUAAUAACCAUGAACCUUUAGACAUGAUAAUUAAUAAUCAACGAACUUACAUUGGCUGCGCCGGCAUAUAAAACUGAUGCAAUAGUUUUUCUCCCAUUGUUAUGGAAAUCCCUUGAACGGAACUUCAUAUCUUUAGAUAAGGUAGUGAUACCUCGAUGUUGUUAGCAUGGGGCACAAUGGUUUUAUUUCGGUGAGGAAAGAGGGAGUUGAGAGGGCCUUAACAUGCUAAAGUUUAAAAUCUGCUGAAGAUCAGAAUUUCAUGUUAUUAUAUUUUUUUUUCCUUGAUAUAUGUUUAAAACAUAAUAAAACAAGCAUGCGCUUUUAUAUUAUCUAAUUGCUGCAAAUAGUAUAAGGAAGAAAAUCAACAUUCAAGAAUAUGAUAAUUAGUACCUAAACAAAGGGAAAAGGAAAAACACAUUAGAUACAAAACAUAGAAUUGUUUCAUGAGAAACAAAGCAUAAAAGAUAAAACCUUUUGUUGACGAAUUACCAGUAUAGCAGGACUUAGGCUUGCAAGAUCAAGGGGUAAUGUUUCCCUAGUUUACAUUUGAUUUUUUGCGAGUCAAUCCAUUCUAAAACAGAAACAAUCACAGGUAAACCAUCAAGAGAAGAUAAAAAGAUUGUCUUCCUAAGUCUGCAAUAAACAUAUUCUUUAGCACUUUACUCAUAAACAGAUUCUUUAGCACUUCACUUGGCACUUUCCAUGACCAUUCUUUUGUACUUAAUUAUUGAAAAUAAUAAACAAAUUAUAAGAAGCGAAAACAAUGUCAAGAUAGUCUUCGGAUAAAUUCGAAAAAAAUGUAUCGUUUUAUUAGUUCACCAAAUUUUCGAAAACUACUCCUUAAGUUGCAAUUACAUAAGGCAAAACAGUAACUACAUGAUUUCAGUUUCUCUCACUAGAAUUACAGCUCACUAGCUCAGUUAUCCUCAAUCAAGUAAAAAAUCAUUCUCAAGUCAAAAUGCACUGGUAAAUAUAAAACCGAACAGAAAAAAAAUAUAUAUAUAUACAGUAUCAAGCUGUAUGUAUUCUGCAGUAUUAUCAGGCAGCUCAACUCACAAUCUCUCAGAUCCAAACGGCGUACGGACAUAAGAUAGCGACGAAAUCACACUUACCGGAGGUGAGCGGAAGCGACGAACAAGCCGAAAUUCACGAAACCGGAGGAAAAAUAAAAGUAGCAGAUCGAGUGUACUCGGAGCUGCGGGGGUGUUUCGCGGCGGCGAUGCGGCGGAGGGGGUCAUUGCCCCCACUGAAAGGCAUGGUUUAAUUUUACACCCAAAAUAGAAGUUCUAAUAAUCUAGUGAUGCAAGGCUAAAUGCAUUUUUGAGUUGAUAUAUCAGCACAGAAAAACAAUACAACCAAAAUCACUACUAGAUUUGUGCUCUUAUUAAAUUUAUUUUAAAAAUUUAUAAUAUUGUUACUUUUUUAAUUUUAAAUUGAAAAUCCCAAUUUUAGCAAAAUCAGAUUGAAGAAAAAGACAAGUAUGAAUCUGAAAUCGAUUUAAUAGAGCAUAAAUUCCAUACUUGUUUAAUAGUUUUCCGCGGUCGUGAAAUUCGGGGGCAGCGGCGAUGGAACCUUGUGGUAGCGGCGGCAAAAGCUGGUGGUGGCGGCGAAGGAGAAAUCUGGUGGAGGUAGCGUCUCUCCGUCGCGGUGGUGUCAGCUUAUCUCCGCCGCUGUGGUCGCAACUUAUCCCCGCCGCAGUGGUGGUGCCCAUCUUGCCGUCGUUGAAGGAUGAAAACGAUGGCAAAAUCACCGGCCGUUCGCAGGAGGAGGUAAAGAACUGUGGAAGAGAGAUGGAGGGUUAGGGCACAAAGUUUAAGUAUUGAAGAUAAAUUUCGCCAUUUGCAAAUUUUAUCCGUAUUCUAAAUUAUAAUUCAAAUCCUUAAG